rnacentral:lncRNA from 1 species
NNNNNNNCUAAAGGGGGAAAAAGGUCUGCGCACCGUUUGGCUUUUCUCUUUUCCGCGUGGGAAAACAGAGGAUUCUGACACCGAGUGCGACGUCUCCACGCGCGCUUUAUUCUGCACAAAAAUCAAACUUUUAACUCAAAACAAAAGGCAAAUGGAUGGUUUUGGUGCAGUGAUGCCCCCCCCCCCCAGCCCAGCUCCCGGGGUGCUGGCGUGCAGCCGCUUGCGGCUUUGCCAAAAUUGCAUAGUUCAGCCCCAGAUUUCCCACGCGGUGGUCGCCCAGGGCUCCAGCAGGGACGUGGAUGCUCCAGGAGGGAUGUGGGAGCUUGGGAGAGGGGUGGAGGCUGGGAUGAGGGUGCUCCCGGGGGGGAUGAGGGUGCCCCAGGAGGGAUGGUGGUGUUCCCGGAGAGGCCGAGGGUGCCCACGGCAGGGAUGUGGGGGCUCCCGGGAGCGGUGUGGAGGGGCUGCACUCCCAGCCCUCUCCCGGGCAGCCGGACCCCCCUCCGCACCCCGGCUGGGGUGGGCAGCACUCGGCUCCCGGCGUUUCAUCCCUGGUGAAAACUUCCUCAGCGCCCGGCUGCAGCACCGGCCCCGCGGCUGCCACCAGCCUGCCCAUGCCAGUGCCAAGGCUGGACCGGGGAUGGGGGGUCAGCAGCCGGGAUGGGGACGGGAACAGCAACAGGGAUGGGAACAGGAGCAGGGAUGGGAGCAGGGAUGGGGACAGGGAUGGGGACGGGGACCGGAGCAGGGCCAGGUGGGACCGUGGGAACCAGCCUUGCCGCCGUCCCCACGCUCGGCGCUGGCUCUCCGUCCCCUGGCGCCCACCGAGCCCCGCGGGGUGCUGGGUGGUGUGAGGGGGGACGGGGACGGAGCAGGGCCGCCCGCGGGUGUCCGCCCCACCGAGCUCGCCCUGCGUGGGGCCGGGCACGGCGCUGCCGCYGGGGGACGCGGCCACGAGGAUCCCUCCAGCCCUGCCUGCGCGAGGAGCCCGCCGUGCCCUGCUCGGAUGCUGGGGGUCCCGGGUGUCCCAGGGCACCGGGGUCCGCACAGCCUGGGGGCUGCAGGGGCUCGGGGAGGGGACAAGGUGACCGGGAGCGGCACAGGCUGCUGCAUCCUGCACGGCUCACGGGGGGGCUGCACCCACGUCCCGCUCRCGGGGUCUGCGCCUGGGCCCAGCUCGUGGGGUGCUGCCUCCGUGCAGGGUCUGCACCCGUGUCCGGAUCGCGGGGUGCUGCGCCUGCGCCCAGCUUGCAGGGUGCUGCACCCGCGCCUGGUUCGUGGGGGUGCUGCAGCCGUGCCUGGUUCAUGGGGUGCUGCAUCUGUGCCUGGUUCAUGGGGUGCUGCACGGUGCUGCACCCAGGCCUGGUUUGUAGGGUGCUGCGCCUGUGCCCAGCUUGCAGGGUGCUGCACCCCUGCCCGGUUUACGGGGUGCUGCACGGUGCCGCAGCCAUGCCUGGUUUGUAGGGUGCCGCGUCCCUGCCCGGU